rnacentral:rRNA from 1 species
GUGUCAGCCGCCGCGGUAAUACGGAGGAUGCAAGCGUUAUCCGGAAUGAUUGGGCGUAAAGCGUCCGCAGGUGGCUGUGUAAGUCUGCUGUCAAAGAGCGAAGCUCAACUUCGUAAAGGCAGUGGAAACUACACGGCUAGAGUGCGUUCGGGGCAGAGGGAAUUCCUGGUGUAGCGGUGAAAUGCGUAGAGAUCAGGAAGAACACCGGUGGCGAAGGCGCUCUGCUAGGCCGCAACUGACACUGAGGGACGAAAGCUAGGGGAGCGAAUGGGAUUAGAAACCCUCGUAGUCC